UACGGGGGGGGCAAGCGUUGUUCGGAAUUACUGGGCGUAAAGGGCUCGUAGGUGGCCAACUAAGUCAGACGUGAAAUCCCUCGGCUUAACCGGGGAACUGCGUCUGAUACUGGAUGGCUUGAACACGGGAGAGGUGAGUGGAAUUCCGAGUGUAGAGGUGAAAUUCGUAGAUAUUCGGAAGAACACCAGUGGCGAAGGCGGCUCACUGGACCGUAGUUGACGCUGAGGUGCGAAAGCGUGGGGAGCAAACAGG
rnacentral:rRNA from 1 species